GGUGAAGCUAGUGGGCGCCAUUUUGAAGUUGGGCAGAAAGUGACUCCAGUGGUGGAACCCGGAGCCAACCAUUUUUAGUUACACGCCCCUGUCCUGGCAAGAGCUAGAAGGUGAGCGUGCCAGUUCCUGUGCACACAAGCGCUCAGCAUCCUGGGGCAGCACAGACCACCGAAAAGAGAUUUCCAAGUUGAAGCAACAACUGCAGAGGACGAAGCUGAGCCGCAGUGGGAAAGAGAAGGAGCGAGGUUCACCACUCCUAGGGGACCACGCAGUGCGGGGAGCACUGAGGGCGUCCCCUCCCAGCUUCCCCUCAGGGUCCCCUGUCUUGCGACUCAGCCCCUGCCUGCACAGGAGCCUGGAAGGGCUCAACCAAGAGCUGGAGGAGGUAUUUGUGAAGGAGCAGGGAGAAGAGGAGCUGCUGAGGAUCCUUGAUAUCCCUGAUGGGCACCGGGCCCCAGCUCCUCCCCAGAGUGGCAGCUGUGAUCAUCCCCUCCUCCUCCUGGAGCCUGGCAACCUUGCCAGCUCUCCUUCCAUGUCCUUGGCAUCUCCCCAGCCUUGUGGCCUGGCCAGUCAUGAGGAACA
rnacentral:lncRNA from 1 species